UAGGCCAAACACCCCCUUGCUGUUGUUCUUUUUGUAUUUUUUGGGGGCGUAUCAUAAUUUGCAACUGGAGUCAAUCAUCAAUCGUCUUUGAUCAUAGUCAUCACUAAUCUGCAUCGCAUCGAUAAACACCACCAUCAGUCCAUCAUCUUCUUCAUCUUCCUCCACAUCAAUGGCGGAAAUUUCGAAGCUUUAACCCCAAAGACUCAUCCAUGGCUAAACCCCACCUCAAAUCUCGCACAAUCCUUGAACCCUUUGCAGAAUUCAACCCAUCUUCAGCCUCAAUUCGAUCUUUAGCUCUGUUUUCCCCCAAUUCUUCAGAAACCCUAAUUUACAUCGGCACUGUUUCUGGUAAACUCCUUUUACUUAAUCUUCAACAUCCCAGUUCUGAUUUUAGUAGUAGUAGUGAUAACGGGAAUGUUGGUGAUGAGGGUAGUCAUCAAAAUCUUAAAUUUGUGAGGCAUAUUGUGGUUAGUGAUUUUGCAGUAGAAUCUAUACAUGUGUUUGGUGAAAUUGAGAAAGUUUUGGUGGUGUCAGAUGGGUUUAUACAUUUUGUUGAUUUAGAGUUAGUAAAGCCUGUGAAAAAGAUUGGUGCUUUGAGAGGUGUUAGUGUGGUUGCUAGGAGGUUAAGGAGUAAUGUAGAUGCGUCUUUUUCGAAGUUAACUGUGGGAGGUGGAGGUGAUCCGAUUGGGGGUUCGAGUUUCUUGCAGAGGUUAGGUGGCAGCGGUAGGGUAAACGGUGGUGGCGGAGCGAAUGAUUUGCCGAUUGAUGAUAACUGUGUUUUCGCUGCGGCUGUUGGGAAGAAACUGAUCUUGGUGGGGCUUGUUGGUAGGAGUAGCGAGAGUUACGAUAGCGUUGCGGGUUCACUCGUGACUUUGAGAGAAAUCCCGUGUGUUGAUUUGGUUAAGGAUAUGGUUUGGAUUGACGAUUCGAUUAUCGUGGGUUGUUCGAGUGGUUAUUAUCUAUGUUCAUGUGUUACGGGUCAAUGUGGGUUAAUAUUUUCAUUUCCUGAUACGUCGAGUACACCACGGCUUAAGGUUUUGAAAAAGGAUUAUAAGAUUUUUAUGUUGGUUGAUAAUGUCGGGAUUAUUGUCAAUUCUCACGGGCAACCCGUGGGUGGAAGUUUGGUAUUUCAAGGCUCCCCAGACGGUAUCGGAGAGAUGGGAUCUUGCGUGGUUCCUAUUCAAAGCGGCAAAAUGGAGUUGUAUGGUAAGAAAUCCGGAAAUUGCGUUCAGAAAGUUGUGUUUGGAGGAGAGGGGCGCGGUAAUCACGUUAUAACCGAUGAUGAAGAUGGAACCGGCAAGGUGGUGGUUGUAGCAACACCAACCAAGGUUAUUUGCUACUUAAAAGUACCUUCUGAAGAACAAAUCAAAGAUCUAUUAAAAAAGAAGGAUUUCAAGGAGGCCGUUUCGUUAGCCGAGGAGCUUUACGAUGAUGGUGAAAUUACAAAAGAAACCCUCUCACUAGUUCACGCUCAAGUGGGAUUCUUGUUAAUGUUUGACUUGCAUUUCGAGGAAGCAGUCAACCAUUUUCUACUAUCUGAAACAAUGCAGCCUUCUGAAAUAUUUCCGUUCAUCAUGCCCGAUCCAAAUCGCUGGUCUUUACUGGUACCGAAGAACCGUUACUGGGGGUUACACCCUCCACCUGCCCCACUAGAGAGCGUUAUCGACAACGGAUUAAUAGCAAUUCAAAGAGCAAUCUUUCUUAAAAAAGCCGGUUUGGAGACUGCGGUGGAUGAUGAGUUUCUUUUAAAUACGCCAAAUAGAGACGACUUAUUAGACUCUGCGAUAAAAAACUUAAUCAGGUAUUUAAAAGUUUCGCGUGAGAAAGAUCUUACAUCAUCUGUGAGGGAGGGAGUCGACACGCUAUUAAUGUAUCUGUAUAGAGCUUUGAGUUUUGUUGAUGAAAUGGAGAGUCUUGCAUCGUCUGAAAACUGGUGUAUAGUGGAGGAGUUGGAAACGCUACUGAAUGAUUCAGGGCAUUUAAGGACACUUGCUUUUCUCUGUGAAAGCAAAGGAAUGAGCUCCAAGGCUCUUGUCAUUUGGCGAAUAUUGGCAAGAAACUAUUCAUCUGGCUACUGGAUGGACCCCGCAAAAACAGUUGAAAAAGACGAUUUAGGUCUAAAUAUUCUUUCUGGCAAAGAAAAUGCAGCAACUGAAGCUACAAGGAUUCUUGAGGAAUUAUCUGAUCAAGAUCUCAUACUACAACAUCUUGGAUGGAUUGCAGAUAUCAACAAUAUGCUUGCCGUUCGAGUAUUGACGUCUGAAAAAAGGAGUCAACAACUUCCUCCAGAUGAAGUAAUUGCUGCAAUUGAUCCAAAGAAAACCGAAAUUAUUCAGAGAUAUCUUCAAUGGUUGAUUGAAGAUCAAGGCUCUGAUGAACCUCAGUUCCAUACCUCAUAUGCUCUGUUACUCACCAAAUCAGCACUUGAAACUUACGGAACAGAAAGUCAGUCGGAGCAGAUUAACGGGCCAGAGCCCGGAAAUCAUUCAAUAUUUCAAAGUCCCGUGAGAGAGAGAUUACAAGUCUUCUUGCAGUCUUCAGACUUGUAUGAUCGUGAAGAGGUCCUUGAUUUGAUAGAAGAAUCAGAGUUAUGGUUGGAAAAGGCUAUUCUUUAUAGAAAACUUGGACAAGAAACAUUAGUGCUCCAAAUCUUGGCCGUGAAACUAGAGGAUAGUGAUGCUGCUGAACACUAUUGUGCUGAAAUUGGUAGACCAGAUGCCUAUAUGCAGUUGGUUGCUUGAUAUUUAUCUAAACCCCGCAGAUGGCAAGACGCCCAUGUUUAAAGCUGCUGUUCGGCUUCUUCAUAAUCAUGGAGAAUCACUUGAUCCUCUCCAAGUUCUUGAGAGAUUAUCCCCGAACAUGCCUUUACAUCUUGCUUCUGAUACGAUAUUAAGAAUGCUAAGAGCUCGGCUUCAUCAUCAUUAUCAAGGACAGGUGGUUCAUAAUUUAUCUCGGGCUGUUAACCUUGAUGCAAAAUUAGCAAGAUUAGAGGAAAGGUCUCGACUUGUACAAAUUAAUGAUGAGAGUCUAUGUGAUUCUUGUCACGCGAGACUUGGAACAAAAUUAUUUGCAAUGUAUCCUGAUGACACCAUAGUUUGCUACAAGUGUUUCCGACGCCAAGGGGAGUCUACAUCUGUAACAGGUCGCGACUUUACUAACGACCCUCUAUUCAAACCCGGCUGGCUAGUUACAGAGUGAUUGCAAAUAUCCACCAUUUUCCAGGGGUAUUUGGUUUUUUGAAGCUGAAAACCAUGUCGGAAUAGUAAAAGAUCUGUUGGAUUAUUAAUACCAUUGUCAUGGUUUUGGAUGAGAGUCAACACUGGUCAAAGCAGUAUAUACUUGAGACGGUUAAACCCAUAUGAAGGCGCGCGGGAUGGUUAAAAAUGUGUGGUGAAAUGUUACACAGUAGACAUGUCUAGUUUUACACUGAUGUAAGACCCUAGCUUUUUGUAUCAUGUCAUUCAAGAGGUGUAAAGUAUUCGAAUGGUUGUGUUGUAUUUUUUGAGUUAAUUUGAUGAUGAGUUGAGAUGAUUAAACGGCCGUAUAAUGAAA